ensembl:lncRNA
CUUCCAUACCUUAUUUGUGGCACCUCCAAAGCUCAUCAACAAUUCUCAGGAAAUACAAGUAGAAUCUGGGUCAUAAAGUCUCUCUUUUUUUUUCCCUUUUCCUUUGUGCAGGGUCUAGCUUUGCUUGCUCAUAGGAUGCCACAUGCAGAGCCUCACGCCGGGGCUUCACACCUGAGCUCCUGGCGUGAAAUGGCUAUGGCCAGGCCUCAGCUCCGCAGGGCGCGGCCAUUUGCAGAGAUGCCGCACCAGGCGCUUCAGUCUCGCGAGACGGGAGCUGACUGCAGCUGCGCCGAGAACUCCGACCCUUCCUUAGGCUGCAAACCCGCGCUUUGUCAAGCGGCCCCCACUGCGGCCUUCAGGGGACGCAUGCGCUCUAGAGCAGUGGUCCCCGACUUUUCAGCACCAGGGUCCAGGUCUAAGGAAGACACAUUUUCCAAGGACAUGUGGGUGGGGAGUGGUUUCAGGAUGAUUCACACGUGCAUUGCAUUAACCGUGCCCAUUGGCUCUAUUACUGUUACCUCAGCUCCACCUCAGAUCAGGCAUUCAAUCCCCGAGUUUGGGGACCCCCAACUUAGAGCCUGAGCACGUCUCUCUGUCCUUUGAGCAAACAACAAAGGUUUCCUUUGCUUCUGUUGGCUCUGAGGACACCAGCAGAAGGACCUUUCCUGGGGACAGAAUCUGGAGGAUCAUGGGCUCUAGAGCACACAGCCUUCAAUAGUUGCAGCAUCCGGGCUUACUUGUUCCACAGCAUAUGGAAUCUUUCCGGACCAGUGAUCAAACCCAUGUCCCCUCCACUGGCAGAUGAAUUCUUACCCACUGGACCAGGAGG